rnacentral:rRNA from 1 species
UACGUAGGUGGCGAGCGUUAUCCGGAUUUAUUGGGUUUAAAGGGUGCGUAGGCGGCUUUUUAAGUUGGUGGUUAAAGGUAGCAGCUCAACUGUUUUACAUGCCAUCAAAACUGAAGAGCUUGAGUUAUCAGGAGGCAGGCGGAAUUUCUGGUGUAGCGGUGAAAUGCAUAGAUACCAGAAGGAACACCUAUUGCGAAGGCAGCUUGCUGUAGAUACACUGACGCUGAUGCACGAAAGCGUGGGGAGCGAACAGG